UACGUAGGGUGCAAGCGUUAUCCGGAUUCACUGGGUUUAAAGGGAGCGUAGGCGGGCAGGUAAGUCAGUGGUGAAAUCUUCGAGCUUAACUCGGAAACUGCCGUUGAUACUAUCUGUCUUGAAUACCGUGGAGAUGAGCGGAAUAUGUCAUGUAGCGGUGAAAUGCUUAGAUAUGACAUAGAACACCAAUUGCGAAGGCAGCUCGUUACACGAAUAUUGACUCUGAGGCACGAAAGCGUGGGGAUCAAACAGG
rnacentral:rRNA from 1 species